AUUGAACGCUGGCGGCAGGCCUAACACAUGCAAGUCGAGCGAGCGGCGGACGGGUGUGUAAUGUCUGUGAAACCGCCUCAUGUAGGGGGAUAACUACUGGAAACGGUAGCUAAUACCGCAUACCAUCAGAUGUGCCCAGAUGGUAUUAGCGAGUAGGUGGGUUAACGCCUCACAUAGGCGACGAUCCCUAGCUGUUCGGAGAGGAUGACCAGCCACACGGGAAGUGAGACACGGUCCAGACUCCUACGGGAGGCAGCAGUGGGAAAUAUUGGACAAUGGGGGCAAGCCUGAUGCAGCCAUGCCGCGUGUGUGAAGAAGGCCUUCGGGUUGUAAAGCACUUUCAGCGGGGAGGCGUUACCCGCAGAAGAAGCACCGGCUAACUCCGUGCCAGCAGCCGCGGUAAUAC
rnacentral:rRNA from 1 species